rnacentral:rRNA from 1 species
UACAGAGGUCCCAAGCGUUGUUCGGAUUCAUUGGGCGUAAAGGGCGCGUAGGCGGUCUUGUAAGUCUUGUGUGAAAUCCCUCGGCUUAACUGAGGAACUGCACGGGAUACUGCGAGACUUGAGUUCGGGAGAGGGAAGCGGAAUUCCGGGUGUAGCGGUGAAAUGCGUAGAUAUCCGGAGGAACACCGGUGGCGAAGGCGGCUUCCUGGACCGACACUGACGCUGAGGCGCGAAAGCUAGGGGAGCAAACGGG